GGAAGUAAAAGUCGUAAUAAGGUUUCCGUAGGUGAACCUGCGGAAGGAUCAUUAAAGUUAUAGUCCCCCGGCCCUCUGGGCUGGGGUCUUCUAUACCACCCUUUGUUUAUUACACCUUUGUUGCUUUGGCAGGCCUGCCCUCGGGCUGCUGGCUCCGGCCGGCUCGCGUCUGCCAGAGGACCUAAACUCUGUCUGUAUAUGAAGUCUGAGUACUAUAUAAUAGUUAAAACUUUCAACAACGGAUCUCUUGGUUCUG
rnacentral:misc_RNA from 1 species